rnacentral:lncRNA from 1 species
GGCGGACGCGUGGCCCACGCACUGGAACGGCUCCACGAGUCUGUCACCCAGGUUGGAGUGCGGUGGUGUGAUCUUGGCUCCCUGCAACCUCCACCUCCCAGGUUCAAGCGAUUCUCCUGCCUCAGCCUCCCAAGUAGCUGCGAUUACAGGCACCCACCACCAUGAAGAAUGGCAUUUUUAAAAGAUGGCUUUCUUAAAAAAGGAUACUCAGUUGCUCUUCUACUCAUACCAAGGUCAUGAAAAGUGCCAAGGAUAAAACUGGCCUUGAACCAGCUAUCUUUGGAGCAAGAAGACCAAAGAAGGAACCAUCUGAUUGCUUGGAUAAAGUGUUGUUAAAAAAGGAGAGAGACAAAACAGAACCAUCUGGUCAAGGACUUGCUGGCUUCUGAUGUCUGCCUGUUCUCUUGAGGCUAAGUCCUGCAGACACAUUCUGGGACUGCACCUUAUGAGUGCUGCUCACUCUGUUUCCUGCAGAAGACAUACAGAGCCGUUCGCAUAGAGUAGGGCCAUGAUUUUGAUUCAGCAAUUCUUCAAACCACUGAUGCUGGUUGACCAUUUGACUUUGUUUUUGAAGUAUUUUUUACAUACAGUGUACAGAACAUUUCCGCUGGAUAUUUGGAUACUGAACAGGAGUAACAAGAGGAACAGCUCCUACCUCCCCCCUGCCCCUUCCCUCACAAGCCUGUGAGUCAGGGCAGGGGCAGCCACUGAAAGUAGCAGAGGCCUUCAUAAAGGAGAACACUUCUCCAUGUUGCCAUCAUGUGAAGAAGGACAUGUUUGCUUCUGCUUCUGCCACGAGUGUAAGUUUACUGAGGACUCCCCAGCCGUGCUGAACUGUUGAAGGCAAUGGUGAUGAAAGUAAAUAUUUAAAAACACUACCAUAGCUGUCCCAAAUUUCAGAAAAACAAGGUACCACUGGAACCAUUUAAUUUUGUUGGAACACAGAAUGACCAUCUUGUGAUCAGUUUUCUGCAUCUUUAAAAUACCUGGAAGGUCAUCUUUAAAUAGUACAAUCUGAUAAAAGUUUAAUACUUAGUGUAGACUUAUAUGAAUACUUCUACAUUCAUACAUUUUUGUAUACUUAUACAUUUUCAUACUCAAUUAAUGCUUAAUUCAAAAAAUAUCUGAGUACCUGCAGUGUUCCCCAUGCUACAUACUGGGCUUAAACAGCCAAAAAGACACAGUCUUUGACCUCAAAAUACUUUGAUUCUUGUAAGAAAAACUGACAAAGACAAAGAGAAGGCAAUGUGAAAACUUCUACAGUUGGGAUAACCUUGGAGGUUACAGGAUGUGGACUCACUGAAAGCUUUCUGCUGGACUUGAACUUGAAGCUGAAGUCUGAAGGACAGAUGGGUGUUGCUUAGCGAAGGGAAAGUAGGAAGCAAAGACCCCUGGACAGAGUGUAGCAGGCACAGAGGGAGCAUGACACCUUCGGGAGAGAGCCGCAAGCACCUGGGCCCAGAUCCCAGCUUUAGCUUCAUUAGCCCUGUGAACUCUGUAUGUCAGCCUUGACAUAGAAAAAAAGAGGAUACUAAACCUCCAUCUUAAAAGAGACUUGGAAGAAGCUGGGAUUAUAGGCACACCACCACACCUGGCCCCAGAAAAGGGAAUCCUUGACCUGCAAGAAUCGAGGAAUAUUGUUUCUGACAUGCUCAGUGGACCUACUGCUGGUGUUCUUAACCAUUUCCUUCCUAAGUGGAACUUCUUUUGAGGUUAAUGUUUAUAUACAAUUACUUUAACAUUGGAUUUGGGAAAUGGAACAACAUACUGCGGAUCUUUCUGCUACCGAUGAAAGAAGAAGGUUGAGUUUUACCUUCUAGAGCUUUACAGUGUAAACAAGCAGUAUUAGGGUUUGUUUUUACCUUCUCCCCUUUGGCCCCGUCACAGAAGCACUGGCCUUUGUCUUUACAGACACAACCCUAGGAAGAGGGAAAGAGAAAGGGUUUUGUUUAGAAACAGCUGAAUAAAUCCCAACCGGCAGGGUAAAAGCAAAUGCAUUUCUCUGUUCUUCGAGUAUUGGACACUAUCUGUUAGGAGCCAGGUGACCUUGUAGCAAUAUAUCAAUAGAAAUAUAUCAAUAUAUGAAUAGCAAUAAAGUAGAAAACUGAGAACAUGUUGCAUAAGGGAGAAAUGUCGGAUAAGAAUACAUCAUUUGUAUUGUACUUGGGAAUUUUAAGUGUUAAAGUAAUGGCCGUUUUUGCCAUUACUUUUAAUUACCUUUGUACCAACCUAAUAAUUUAUAUAUGGAAACGACAAAGCUAUCCUUUUUUUCAGGAUAAUAUCUAAUUGAAUCAUAAGAAAUUGCUGCUGUCAUAGUUAAAAAGUGGUCAAAUACUGGCAAAUUCUUAGGUUCUACAUAAUGUUCAUAUAUGUGUAUGUGUAUAUAUGUAUAAUGUAUACAUGUAUAUGUACCUUUUAUGUAGAACACAAUGUAUUUGGUUAGUGCCAUUACUUGGACAAUUUUUUUGCCAUUACUUUCAAUGGCAAAAGCCACAAUAACUUUUGCACCAACCUUAUAUAUAUUUGUGUAGAUUAAUAUGCAAUAUAUUCCAUAGGUGAUAUUAAGGUUUUCUUUGACUUAAAUAAUGUUUAAGACUGGGAAGAGGAUCAAUACCCAUUACACAUCUUUAAAGAGAACAAACUAACUCAUUAAUGCUAGUAUCAGAAUGUUCUUUCUUUUUUUAUUCUCAAAUAUUUUGAACAACAGAAUGUUCUUUCUUAUAAAACCAAAACCAAAACAAAAAAUUCAGCUGUGAGUUAGACAUACCUUAUCCUACCUAACUAGUCACUGUGACACACUUACCCCCCAGCCCUCACACCUAUGCACAUUCCAGCUCCAAUGGACAUCAAAUUUUUAAAACUUUUCUCUGCCAGCAGAGGAACAAAUAAAGAAAUAGUUUCAAAUAAUAGACUUAAAAUGUGUUUUGGCUGGGCACAGUGGCUCAUGCCUGUCAUCCCAGCACUUUGGGAGGCCGAGGCAGGCAGGUCACUUGAGGUCAGGAGUUUGAGACCAACCUGGCCAACCUGAUGAAACCCCAUCUCAACUAAAAAAUAUAAAAAUCAGCUGGGUGUGGUGGUGGGCUCCUGUAAUU